CUGGACGCCCCGCUGCGUUGCACUAUGGGAAGGGGACGGUUUUGCUGCGCGUGCGUACAUGGCCAGCGUGGCUGCACUCGGAGGUGGAAGCUGAAGAAAACAGAAAGAUGAAGGUGAGAGGAGGCGAGGGAUGGAGGCUGCUCCGGUAUCAUGACGUCUUCGGGUUGGCGAGUAUUUACCAUCUCAGAGAAAAUUGUUGCAGGCAAUCUUGUACAAUACCACUGGCAGAAAACACUUGGGAAUUAUCUAGCCAUCACUGGGUCUGACCAUACAGUGAAAAUCUUUGAUCGACAUGGACAUAAAAGAAAUGAAAUUAACCCACCAGGAAUUUGUGUUUCUAUGGACUGGGAUAAAGAUGGAGAUGCCUUGGCUGUGAUUUCUGAUAAAUCAAAUGCCAUUUACUUAUGGGAUGCAAACACGCAUAAAACUACACAGUUGGACAGUGGUAUGAGGGAUCAGAUGUCAUUUCUGAUGUGGUCAAAAGCAGGAUCAUUGCUUGCUGUUGGAACAACCAAAGGAAAUCUGCUUAUUUAUAGUUUACAGACCUCUCGCAAAGUUCCAGUUCUCGGGAAGCAUACAAAACGGAUUACUUGUGGUUGCUGGAGUUCCCAGAACCUGCUUGCACUGGGUAGCGAAGACAAGACGAUCACUGUCAGCAACCAAGAGGGAGAUACAAUCAGACAGACCACAGUGAGAGCAGAACCAAGUGACAUACAGUUCUCCAUGAUGAAGACGGAUGAACGGGCAUCAGUUGGCGAAAGCACAGUAAGUGCAAUUGUUGGCAAGAAAACUCUAUUCUUGUUUAAUCUGAGCGAUCCUGAUAAUCCUAUUGAAUUGGCAUUCCAGCAACGCUAUGGCAGCAUCAUAUCUUAUAGAUGGUAUGGUGAUGGGUACAUUAUGAUUGGGUUUUCUCAAGGCUACUUUGUAGUAAUUUCUACGCAUAUUCGUGAGAUUGGUCAGGAACUGUUCCAAGCCCACAACCAUAAAGACAACCUGACAAGUAUUGCCAUCUCUCAAUCCCUGAACAAAGCUGCUUCUUGUGGAGAUAAUUGCAUUAAAAUCCAUGAUCUGUCAGAACUGAAAGAGAUGUAUGCUAUCAUAAACUUGGAUGAUGAAACUAAAGGUCUGGAUCGGCUAUCUUGGACAGAUGAUGGACAGUUGCUUGCUGUAUCUACACAGCGUGGAACUUUGCAUGUUUUCCUUACAAAACUUCCAGUUCUUGGAAAUACAUGUGGAACUCGAAUAGCUUUCCUAACUUCUCUGCUAGAGGUCACAGUGACCAAUCAUGUUGAGGAAGAACCACAAAUCACAGUUUCCGUUGAAGUAGAACCGACCUUUAUCGCUGUUGGCCCAUAUCAUGUGGCCGUUGGAAUGAAUAACAGAGCCUGGUUUUAUGCCGUUGGAGAAAAUCGAGCGGAGAAGCUAAAAGACAUGGAGUAUCUGGGCACCGUGACCAGUAUGUGCUUAAAUUCUGAUUACGCAGCAGUGCUUUUUGAGGGAAGAGUUCAGCUACACAUGAUUGAAAUGGAAGGCAUUGAAGCUCAGGAGGAAAGGGAAACUCGUCUUUUUCCAGGACAUGAUGACAAAUACCGAGUUAUGUGCCACGCACUUACUGCUGAUUUCUUAGUCUAUGGAACAGAUACUGGGAUCAUCCAAUAUUUCUAUAUUGAGGACUGGCAGUAUGUGAAUGAGUAUCGCCAUUCAGUCAGUAUCCGUAAAGUUUUUCCAGAUCCCAGCGGGACUAAAAUGGCAUUCAUUGAUGACAAGAGCGAUGGGCUUGUCUACUGCCCUGUGAACGAUACUAUAUAUGAGAUCCCAAACUUUCCCACCACUGUUAGAAGCAUUCUCUGGGAACACUUUACAAUGGAUAAAGGAGUCUUUAUUGCUUAUGAUGAUGACAAAGUCUAUACCUAUGUUUUUCACAAGGAUACGAUUCAAGGAUCCAAAGUCAUACUGGCAGGUGCUACAAAACUUCCUUUUUCUCACAGACCAUUACUGUUAUAUAAUGGAGAGUUAACAUGUCAGACACAGAGUGGGAAAAUCAAUGCUAUUCUUUUAAGCACACAUUCUUUCCUCGCUGGAUUGAAGGAUCUUGGACCUAAUGAUCUUCAGCCAAUGUUGACCCAAUGCUUAAUGCUGAAAAGGUUUAAUGAAGCCUGGAAUGUGUGCAAAUUAUUUAAUGAUCCUUCAGCAUGGACUGAGUUUGCUCGUGCUUGCCUCCAUCACAUGGAAGUAGAGUUUGCGAUCCGUGUUUAUCGAAUGAUUGGAAAUGUCGGAAUGGUAAUUUCACUGGAGCAGAUUAAGGGAAUAGAAGACCACAGCCUAUUAGCUGGACAUCUUGCUAUGUUUAUGAAUGAUUUCAAUUUGGCACAGGAUCUCUAUCUGGCCUCCAGCUGCCCGAUUGCUGCACUAGAGAUGCGGAGGGAUCUACAGCAUUGGGACAGUGCUCUGCAAUUAGCUAAACGACUGGCUCCUGAUCAGAUUGCAUUUAUCUCCAAAGAAUAUGCUAUUCAACUAGAGUUCACGGGAGACUAUGUGAAUGCAUUGGCACAUUAUGAGAAAGGCAUGACUGGAGACAAUAAGUAUCUUGAACAUGAUGAUGCGUGCUUAGCUGGAAUUGCAAGGAUGUCAAUACGGAUGGGUGAUAUUCGACGUGGUGUCAACCAGGCAAUUAGACACACCAGUAGAGUUCUGAAGAAAGACUGUGGUGUUAUUCUAGAGAGUAUGAAGCAAUUCUCUGAGGCUGCUCAAUUAUAUGAAAAAGGACAGUACUAUGACAAAGCAGCAUCUGUUUACAUCCGUUGUAAAAAUUGGGCAAAAGUUGGAGAGCUUCUCCCUCAUGUAACAUCUCCCAAGAUACACCUGCAGUAUGCAAAGGCAAAAGAAGCUGAUGGCAGGUAUAAGGAAGCUGCAAUGGCUUAUGAAAAUGCCAAAGACUGGGAUAAUAUGAUUCGAAUCCAGUUGGAUCAUCUCAGCAAUCCUGAAGAAGCUGUUCGUAUCAUUCGAGAAACUCAAUCAAUUGAUGGGGCCAAAAUGGUAGCCAGGUUCUUCCUGCAACUUGGUGACUAUGGCUCUGCCAUCCAGUUCCUGGUGAUGUCUAAGUGUAAUGAUGAAGCAUUUCAACUCGCUCAGCAACACAAUCAAAUGGAAGUCUAUGCUGAUAUCAUUGGUUCUGAUGCCAAUAAUGAAGACUAUCAGAGUAUUGCAUUGUACUUUGAAGGUGAAAAGAAACAUUUCUUGGCUGGAAAAUUCUUCAUGCUUUGUGGCCAGUAUACCCGAGCAUUGAAACACUUCUUGAAAUGUCCAGUAUCUGAAGAUGGCCAAGCUAUUGAGAUGGCUAUAGAAGCGGUUGGACAAGCCAAAGAUGACAUGCUAACUAGUCAGCUCAUAGAUUAUCUAAUGGGUGAGAGCGAUGGAAUGCCCAAGGAUGCAAAGUAUCUUUUCCGACUGUAUAUGGCUUUGAAGCAAUAUCGAGAAGCAGCCAGAACAGCCAUAAUAAUCGCUAGAGAAGAACAAUCUGCAGGAAACUACAGGAAUGCACACGAUGUGCUGUUUAGUAUGUACACAGAGCUCAAAGCACACAAAAUCAAAAUCCCCUCAGAAAUGGUGACAAACCUUAUGAUUCUACACAGCUACAUUCUGGUAAAGACUCAUGUAAAGCGUGGAGACCACAUGAAAGGAGCAAGGAUGCUCAUCCGAGUUGCAAAUAACAUCAGCAAGUUUCCAUCUCACAUUGUGCCCAUUCUAACGUCAACAGUAAUUGAAUGUCACCGAGCAGGGUUAAGGAAUUCUGCCUUUAGUUUUGCUGCUAUGCUGAUGAGACCGGAAUACAGAAACAAUAUUGAUCCAAAGUACAAGAAAAAGAUAGAAGCUAUGGUUAGGCGUCCUGACCAAUCAGAAGUGGAAGAGUUUACUUCGCCUUGUCCAUACUGUGCUUUUCAGUUGCCAGAGUGUGAGCUGCUCUGUUCAGGUUGUAAAAACAAUCUGCCUUACUGCAUUGUUACUGGCCGCCACAUGGUGAAGGAUGAUUGGACAGUUUGCCCCCAUUGCGAUUUUCCUGGUUUAUACUCUGAGUUCAAAGUCCUACUAGCUACUGAGAAAGCUUGCCCUAUGUGUUCAGAAAAGCUGUGUGUGGAGCAGCUAUCACUUGUUGAGCCAGCACCAUAUCUACUACAUGAUGAGGCAGAAUCAUGAGAAAUGUUGGACAUGCAAAGUACAAGUGUGAAGAUCAGAUCAGAGUAUUAGUUGAAAAUGGGAGAAAGUGAGGACUGCAGAUGCUGGAGAUCAGAGCUGAAAAUUCUCCUGCUCGAAGGAGCAGGAGAAUCGAUAUAUCAGGCAUGAGCCCUUCCUGAAGAAAUUGUAAAUGGAUUUCAUCAAGAAAAAUCCAGCAUCAUAAACCAUUGUUGAAAGCACCAGGAGUUCUUCAAUGCAUUUGAAACAUUUCCUUUUUAAGCAUUUUUAUGGUCA